UGAGGGAAUAUUGGGGUCAAUGGGGCGGAAGCCUGAACCAGCCAUGCCGCGUGAAGGACUAAGGCCCUAUGGGUCGUAAACUUCUUUAGACGCAGAGCAAUAAGGGUCUCGCGAGAUCCGAUGAGAGUAUGCGUAGAAUAAGCAUCGGCUAACUCCGUGCCAGCAGCCGCGGUAAUACGGGGGGAUGCGAGCGUUAUCCGGAUUUAUUGGGUUUAAAGGGUGCGUAGGCGGAAGUGCAAGUCAGCGGUGAAAUCCCCGCGCUCAACGCGGGAGUUGCCGUUGAUAUUAGGAGGAACACCAGUGGCGAAGGCGGCUUUCUGGACUGUAACUGACACUGAGGCUCGAAAGCGUGGGGAGCGAACAGGAUUAGAUACCCUGGUAGU
rnacentral:rRNA from 1 species